UUUCUGGGCCUCAAGACAGGCUGCACAUGACCAUGCCAAUUGCUGCUUUUGGUCUGCUGCAGAAUUGUUGUACCUUGCUUUUACUUAAUGACCAAUUGUACAAUUUGCCAACUUUGCCUUUUGGUCCAAAAUGGUGGUGUAAUGAUGAAAUGAUCAUGGUUUAAGGCUUGGAACAAGUCACAAAUAUGGUUUAACACAUUCCCCAAUUG
rnacentral:lncRNA from 1 species